CCGAGGCAGUCGCAAAGUGUUUUCAUUCUCGUUACGUCUCACAAGUGCUUUACUGUUAUAUGCAGUAGGUGUAUAUAUAUAUAUAUAUAUAUAGGUAUAUGUAUCAUAUAUAUGUGUGUCUCGUGAAGUAACGGCUGUUUGCGUGUUGCGUGUCAAAAACAACAACAACAACAACAACAACAAAGGGCUCAGCAGGCGCAGCGCAAACGGCGAACGCAUCCCCCGUGUCUCUAUAAGCGAUUAUUUAAUUUAUGGUUUAUAGUUAAAAAAUGAAAUAAAUUAAAUAUAUAAAUAAUUGGAGGAAAGUGCGUGCCGGUGAACAGCUGCGAGAAUUUACAAGUGAAGCGAAUAUAAUUAUACAAUGUUUAAAUCGAAGACAGUAGCUUAUAUUUGACCCCAGGCAAAGGUCAUUAUUAUAUUGAUAUUUAACUGUGCGCUCUGCUGUUAUCAGUGCAACAACAACAACAACAACAACUACAACAACAGGCGACAAGAAUAAAUAAAACAUUAAACAAAACAAUAACAAUAACAAUAUGGGUAACAUGCGCUAUUUGUCGGAGACUCAUUUGCGGGGCUUCGAGCGUUACAAGUACAACAGCAUAGACACUAGUUUUCUGAGUGUCUAUAUAAUGCAUCCGUUCUGGAAUUCCUGCGUGAAGUAUUUACCGAUGUGGCUGGCGCCUAAUAUACUCACUUUUGUCGGUUUUCUCAUGACCGUGGUGAACUUCAUAUUGAUAGCUUAUUACGACUGGGACUUCAAGGCGGCCAAUGACAAAUCGGUGGGCAACACGGUGCCCGGCUGGGUCUGGACCGUGGCGGCCAUCAACAUACUCAUCUAUUACAAUUUGGAUGGCAUGGAUGGCAAGCAGGCGCGUCGCACGGGCACGAGUGGUCCGCUCGGCGAGCUCUUCGAUCAUGGCUUGGACUCAUAUUCGGCAGCCCUAAUACCCAUCUAUAUAUUUUCACUGUUUGGCACGGCGGACUUGCCGCCAAUACGCAUGUUUUUUGUUAUAUGGAACGUGUUUCUCAAUUUCUAUUUUACGCAUGUGGAAAAGUAUAAUACGGGCGUUAUGUUCUUGCCCUGGGGCUAUGACUUUACCAUGUGGGGCGUCAGCGUGAUGCUGUUUGUGGCCACAUUGGUGGGUCCGGAAAUUUAUCGCUCCAGCUUUUAUGGUUUUACGGUGGCGAAUAUGUUUGAGGUUGGCCUCAUUGGUUCCGGCAUACUAUCCAGUCAUCCAAUUAUUAUAAGGAACAUCUAUCUCUCAUAUAAGAAUAAGACGGGCAAAAUGCGUCCCAUGAUGGAGAUGUUGCGUCCAUUUUUCGCCUUCGUCUGGCUCUUUCUGAUCACCUUGGUUUGGUCAUUCUAUUCGCGAAAUCAGGUCAUUAAUCUGGAGCCGCGUAUCCUGUGGAUACUCUACGGCACUAUCUUCUCCAAUAUUGCAUGCCGCCUGAUUGUGGCCCAAAUGUCGGAUACACGUUGCGAUGGCUUUAAUAUACUUAUGUGGCCACUGCUUGCCACUGUGGGCGUCUGUUGUUUUCCGUGGUAUGAGCAUGUUUUCGGCAUGGAUCUGACGGCACAGGGCGAACGCUGGCUCGUCCAUGGCCUAACAAUAUUCGUCACAUUGGCGCACUGGCAUUAUGGCUAUGGUGUGGUCUCGGAAAUGUGUAAUCAUUUUAAGAUUCGUUGCUUCAAAGUAAGAAAAUCCCACAGCAAUUCCGUUGAAUACACUACAUUCCAGAACAAUAACAAAUCCCAGAAAAGUCAUUGAAACUAAUUACAUACUAACUAGAAAAAAAAAACAAAAACAAAAACAAUCAAAACAAAACAAAUUCAACGAAAUACGAAAAUACCAAAAGGGUUGCCAUUUUGUAUGUGAUAUAAAUGUGGGUGUUACAAAAUUCUCUUUCGCCUCGCUCUGGUCUAUAUUUAAGUGAACCAUACUCAAUACAUUAGGUCUCAUGCGCCGCAUAACGUUAUGAUAACUAAACCGCCUGGCAACGCUGUGCAGGAACUGACCGAGACCAAUGAAGUCACAAAACGCACGGAGACCACUGAAGAAGU
rnacentral:misc_RNA from 1 species